GAGGGUAUAGCUCAUGUGGUAGAGCGCCUGCUUACCAUGAAGGAGGUCCUGGGUUCAAUCCUCAGUCUUCCUCU
rnacentral:tRNA from 1 species